GGUAAGUCCAGCCCUAGGCUAAAAGUCGAUAGGGCGGAGGCCGUCAAGCUGGAAGGGGCUGUGCUGUCAACGAGCGAGCGCAGGGGGUGUUAAUCACUGAAGGGAGGUAGAGUGUUUUUCCCCACCAGAGGAGGCAGCGACCACGUCUCCUCUAUGGAGGCAUUCAAGAGCCAUCCAGCUGAAGCAGCAUCACUGUCUGAGCUUGGAAGGCACAAUCCACAUCGGUCUGCAUGGUCCACCGAGCUGCAUACCCACGGGGCCAGCGGGAGGUGGGCAGCUGCUGGGCUUUCUUCUGAAGCAGACAGGAUCUCAGUCUGUUGCCGAGGCUGGAUCACAGCUCCCUGCAACCUUGAAUUCUCCCUCAAGCAAUCCUCCCCACUCUGCCUUCCAAAGCACUGGCAUUACAGGCCUAAGCCACCACUCCCAUCCACUGUAGUGUAAACUAUCUCCUUCAGUGUUUCCAGUAGUUGCAGAGCAGAUCAGAUAAGGGUUCUUCCUGUCUAUUGCUUCAAGUUUCAUUCUCUCUUUAAACGAUAUAAGGUUGGCUUCCAUGGUUCCUUCUUAAAGAAUGUUGAAGG
rnacentral:lncRNA from 1 species